rnacentral:rRNA from 1 species
GACGAACGCUGGCGGCGUGCUUAACACAUGCAAGUCGAACGAUGAACCUCGAAAUGAUUUCUUCGGAAAGAUUUUUGAGAGGAUUAGUGGCGAACGGGUGAGUAACGCGUGAGCAACCUGCCUUAGACAAGGGGAUAGCCUCGGGAAACCGUGAUUAAUACCCUAUGAGACUCCCCUUACGAGUGUAAGAGAAGUUAAAGCUAUUGCGGUCUAAGAUGGGCUCGCGUCUGAUUAGCUAGUUGGUGAGAUAAAAGCCCACCAAGGCGACGAUCAGUAACCGGCUUGAGAGAGUGAACGGUCACAUUGGAACUGAGACACGGUCCAAACUCCUACGGGAGGCAGCAGUGGGGAAUAUUGCACAAUGGGGGCAACCCUGAUGCAGCGACGCCGCGUGAGCGAUGAAGGAAUUCGUUUCGUAAAGCUCUGUCCUUGGAGAAGAUAAUGACGGUAACCAAGGAGGAAGCACCGGCUAAAUACGUG